AAAAAAGGUAAGCUACUAAGAGCGAAUGGUGGAUGCCUUGACUGGUAAAGGCGAUGAAGGACGUACUAGACUGCGAUAAGCUACGGGGAGCUGUCAAGAAGCUUUGAUCCGUAGAUUUCCGAAUGGGGCAACCCAAUGUAUAGAGAUAUACAUUACCUAUAUAGGAGCGAACGAGGGGAAUUGAAACAUCUUAGUACCCUCAGGAAAAGAAAUCAAUAGAGAUUGCGUCAGUAGCGGCGAGCGAAAGCGCAAGAGGGCAAACCCAGUGCUUGCACUGGGGGUUGUAGGACUGCAAUGUGCAAGAGCUGAGUUUAGCAGAACAUUCUGGAAAGUAUAGCCAUAGAGGGUGAUAGUCCCGUAUGCGAAAAACAAAGCUUAGCUAGCAGUAUCCUGAGUAGGGCGGGACACGAGGAAUCCUGUCUGAAUCCGGGUCGACCACGAUCCAACCCUAAAUACUAAUACCAGAUCGAUAGUGCACAAGUACCGUGAGGGAAAGGUGAAAAGAACUGAGGUGAUCAGAGUGAAAUAGAACCUGAAACCAUUUGCUUACAAUCAUUCAGAGCACUAUGUAGCAAUACAGUGUGAUGGACUGCCUUUUGCAUAAUGAGCCUGCGAGUUGUGGUGUCUGGCAAGGUUAAGCAAACGCGAAGCCGUAGCGAAAGCGAGUCUGAAUAGGGCGCUUAGUCAGAUGCUGCAGACCCGAAACGAAGUGAUCUAUCCAUGAGCAAGUUGAAGCUAGUGUAAGAACUAGUGGAGGACUGAACCCAUAGGCGUUGAAAAGCCCCGGGAUGACUUGUGGAUAGGGGUGAAAGGCCAAUCAAACUUCGUGAUAGCUGGUUCUCUCCGAAAUAUAUUUAGGUAUAGCGUUGUGUCGUAAUAUAAGGGGGUAGAGCACUGAAUGGGCUAGGGCAUACACCAAUGUACCAAACCCUAUCAAACUCCGAAUACCUUAUAUGUAAUCACAGCAGUCAGGCGGCGAGUGAUAAAAUCCGUCGUCAAGAGGGAAACAACCCAGACUACCAGCUAAGGUCCCUAAAUCUUACUUAAGUGGAAAACGAUGUGAAGUUACUUAAACAACCAGGAGGUUGGCUUAGAAGCAGCCAUCCUUUAAAGAAAGCGUAAUAGCUCACUGGUCUAGUGAUUUUGCGCGGAAAAUAUAACGGGGCUAAAGUAAGUACCGAAGCUGUAGACUUGCGCACAACUUAGAUUAUUUAAGUUUAGAAUAUGAGAAACUAAGUUAUAUUUUUACUGAUUUUUAUAGAGUAAAGAUAGAAAUAAAACUUAGUAAAAUCAGUAAAAAUAUUCUUAGGCUAAAGUUAAGUAGUUUAAGUUGUGUGCAAGUGGUAGGAGAGCGUUCUAUUUGCGUCGAAGGUAUACCGGUAAGGAGUGCUGGAGCGAAUAGAAGUGAGCAUGCAGGCAUGAGUAGCGAUAAUUAAUGUGAGAAUCAUUAACGCCGUAAACCCAAGGUUUCCUACGCGAUGCUCGUCAUCGUAGGGUUAGUCGGGUCCUAAGUCGAGUCCGAAAGGGGUAGACGAUGGCAAAUUGGUUAAUAUUCCAAUACCAACAUUAGUGUGCGAUGGAAGGACGCUUAGGGCUAAGGGGGCUAGCGGAUGGAAGUGCUAGUCUAAGGUCGUAGGAGGUUAUACAGGCAAAUCCGUAUAACAAUACUCCGAGAACUGAAAGGCUUUUUGAAGUCUUCGGAUGGAUAGAAGAACCCCUGAUGCCGUCGAGCCAAGAAAAGUUUCUAAGUUUAGCUAAUGUUGCCCGUACCGUAAACCGACACAGGUGGGUGGGAUGAGUAUUCUAAGGCGCGUGGAAGAACUCUCUUUAAGGAACUCUGCAAAAUAGCACCGUAUCUUCGGUAUAAGGUGUGGUUAGCUUCGUACUAGGAUUUACUCCGAAAGCGAAGAAACUUACAACAAAGAGUCCCUCCCGACUGUUUACCAAAAACACAGCACUCUGCUAACUCGUAAGAGGAUGUAUAGGGUGUGACGCCUGCCCGGUGCUCGAAGGUUAAUUGAUGGGGUUAGCAUUAGCGAAGCUCUUGAUCGAAGCCCGAGUAAACGGCGGCCGUAACUAUAACGGUCCUAAGGUAGCGAAAUUCCUUGUCGGUUAAAUACCGACCUGCAUGAAUGGCGUAACGAGAUGGGAGCUGUCUCAAAGAGGGAUCCAGUGAAAUUGUAGUGGAGGUGAAAAUUCCUCCUACCCGCGGCAAGACGGAAAGACCCCGUGGACCUUUACUACAGCUUGACACUGCUAUUUGGAUAAGAAUGUGCAGGAUAGGU
rnacentral:rRNA from 1 species